rnacentral:rRNA from 1 species
GGGGAAUUUUGGACAAUGGGGGCAACCCUGAUCCAGCCAUGCCGCGUGAGGGAAGAAGGCCUUCGGGUUGUAAACCUCUUUCGGCCGGGACGAAAUCGCAUCGGUUAAUACCCGGUGUGGAUGACGGUACCGUAAGAAGAAGCACCGGCUAACUACGUGCCAGCAGCCGCGGUAAUACGUAGGGUGCGAGCGUUAAUCGGAAUUACUGGGCGUAAAGCGUGCGCAGGCGGUUUUUUAAGCCAGACGUGAAAGCCCCGGGCUUAACCUGGGAAUGGCGUUUGGGUCUGGAAGGCUGGAGUACGGCAGAGGGAGGUGGAAUUCCACGUGUAGCAGUGAAAUGCGUAGAGAUGUGGAGGAACACCGAUGGCGAAGGCAGCCUCCUGGGCCAGUACUGACGCUCAUGCACGAAAGCGUGGGGAGCAAAC